CGGGGUGUCACUCAGUGGUAGAGUGCUUGCCUAGCACGGCAAAAGUCCUGGGUUUGAGCCCUGGCACUUCAA
rnacentral:tRNA from 1 species